rnacentral:lncRNA from 1 species
UCUAAGAGAGAGGGGUCGUCGAACGUAGGAAGGGAGAUCUAGAGAGAGAGAAACGUAGACGGUGACGUUCAUAUGCGUUGUCUGCUGCUGCCUUUGUCGACGACUCGACGUCCUGACGCAGUCCUUCGUCUUAUCCAUUGUACCGGCCGGCCCUCCUGCUUUCCCUGCAUGGGGUCGUCAUCGUUCGGGCGUGCACAUGUCGUCGGGAGUUCUUGCUCCUUUUGGGCCUUUUACUAUCGAUCUUCCGGUGCACAGGGCUGCAAAUCUCGGUGGGGUAUACAUUAUGAAAACGAAAUUUUAACCGCUGGAUCAAAAGCCUUAAAUAGCUCAGCUGCUUAAAGCGUAAAAAUAAAAAAUCUUUUUAAUUUGAGUAGAAACAAGACGCGGCAGCACAUAUGCGGACAACCGCAUUCACACACACAAACUCACACACCGUGAGGCUUGUUUGACAGCUUAUUAGCUUAUAAUAACUAAUCUUGCAUGUAGAUUAUUGUUAUAUUCUGGGAUCUGUUUGUUUUAGCUUGCAUAUUAUUUAUGACGAUUGUUUAACCAUAUUUACAUCUUGCAAGGCCCAUUAUCUCUACCGACUCCUGCUGCAUAAACUCCCUCCAUCCCAAAUUACUAUUCGUUUUGACUUUUCUAGAUACACACCUUUCGACAUGCACUUACAUAUAAGUAUAUAUAUAUAUAGUAAAAGUGAUGUAUCUAGAAAACCUAAAAUGAAUAGUAAUUUUGGACGGAGGUAGUAUAUACUAGUGGUAAUGAGAUGAGUCCCAUUGAUAUGUGCAUCGUAUGCAAUUCCAUCAGAACUUAACCAACGUACCAUUGUUCCGUGAUUUUUGUUGAGGAUCGAAGCCUCUAGUAGUGUACGUAUCUCCCUCUCUACAGUGUCAUGUCAAGUAAUAAUUUCUUUAAAGCAGAUGAUAUAACAAACUCGCCAAAUUAAAAUAAGUUCUGGAUUCUUCUAAUAAGGUCCCCCAUUUGCUGACGUUGCAAUGUAAUUAGCAGGGAAUAUGCCUAGAGCUUUAAUUUACAGGACCAUGUGCUUCGGGGAUACCAUCCUGAAUAUCCGGAUGGCUUGUUUUUGUGUUGAGUAUCCUUCUCAGAUCAACACAUAUAUAGUACUUGUCUUUUGCAGUAUACAAUGAAGAUAACUCAUGGAUUGAUAUUGUUCGAUUGAAGUUAACCGUCAUCUUCUAGUAGUACAACUCACAAUGUAAACCAUAUUGUAGUAAUAUUCAUAUCCACACAUAUUCAUAAUUGUAAUAUUUGGCGACACAUCAUACUAGUAUUAUCAAACAAACCAUAUCGUAGCACUAAUACUAUGAACCUUAAGUUACAGAUCAGACUAAAUUUGUUUUACAUUCUCAUUGCAAAUCAUGAUAUAGUUCAUACGGUCCAACAACUUCCUCGAAACUUGGAGGUCUCGAAUUUGAUCCCCC